rnacentral:rRNA from 1 species
ACGCUAGCUACAGGCUUAACACAUGCAAGUCGAGGGGCAGCGGGUUGAAAGCUUGCUUUCAAUGCCGGCGACCGGCGCACGGGUGCGUAACGCGUAUCAAACUUGCCUCAUACUCGGGGAUAGCCUUGCGAAAGUAAGAUUAAUACCCGAUGUUGUUGCUUUCUCGCAUGGGAGAGUAACCAAAGAUUUAUCGGUAUGAGAUGGUGAUGCGUCCGAUUAGGUAGUAGGCGGGGUAACGGCCCACCUAGCCUUCGAUCGGUAGGGGUUCUGAGAGGAAGGUCCCCCACACUGGAACUGAGACACGGUCCAGACUCCUACGGGAGGCAGCAGUGAGGAAUAUUGGUCAAUGGGCGAGAGCCUGAACCAGCCAAGUAGCGUGCAGGAUGACGGCCCUCCGGGUUGUAAACUGCUUUUAGUUGGGAAUAAAAAAAGGGACUUGUCCCUUCUUGUAUGUACCUUCAGAAAAAGGACCGGCUAAUUCCGUGCCAGCAGCCGCGGUAAUACGGAAGGUCCAGGCGUUAUCCGGAUUUAUUGGGUUUAAAGGGAGCGUAGGCGGAUUGUUAAGUCAGCGGUUAAAGGGUGUGGCUCAACCAUGCAUUGCCGUUGAAACUGGCGAUCUUGAGUGCAGACAGGGAUGCCGGAAUUCGUGGUGUAGCGGUGAAAUGCUUAGAUAUCACGAAGAACUCCGAUCGCGAAGGCAGGUGUCCGGGCUGCAACUGACGCUGAGGCUCGAAAGUGUGGGUAUCAAACAGGAUUAGAUACCCUGGUAGUCCACACAGUAAACGAUGUAUACUCGCGGUUUGCGAUAGAUUGUAAGCCGCCAAGCGAAAGCAUUAAGUAUACCACCUGGGGAGUACGCCGGCAACGGUGAAACUCAAAGGAAUUGACGGGGGCCCGCACAAGCGGAGGAACAUGUGGUU